rnacentral:rRNA from 1 species
GACGAACGCUGGCGGCGUGCUUAACACAUGCAAGUCGAACGGAAAGGCCCUGCUUUUGUGGGGUGCUCGAGUGGCGAACGGGUGAGUAACACGUGAGUAACCUGCCCUUGACUUUGGGAUAACUUCAGGAAACUGGGGCUACUACCGGAUAGGAGCUCCUGCUUCAUGGUGGGGGUUGGAAAGUUUCGGCGGUUGGGGAUGGACUCGCGGCUUAUCAGCUUGUUGGUGGGGUAGUGGCUUACCAAGGCUUUGACGGGUAGCCGGCCUGAGAGGGUGACCGGCCACAUUGGGACUGAGAUACGGCCCAGACUCCUACGGGAGGCAGCAGUGGGGAAUAUUGCACAAUGGGCGGAAGCCUGAUGCAGCAACGCCGCGUGCGGGAUGACGGCCUUCGGGUUGUAAACCGCUUUCGCCUGUGACGAAGCGUGAGUGACGGUAAUGGGUAAAGAAGCACCGGCUAACUACGUG